UACGGAGGGUGCAAGCGUUGCUCGGAAUUAUUGGGCGUAAAGGGUAGGUAGGUGGUCUCAUUUGUCUGGGGUGAAAGCCUUGGGCUUAACUCAAGAAGUGCCCCAGAAACGGUGAGACUGGAGUCCUGGAGAGGGUCGUGGAAUUCCCGGUGUAGCGGUGAAAUGCGUAGAGAUCGGGAGGAACACCAGAGGCGAAGGCGGCUCACUGGACCGGUAUUGACGCUGAGGCGCGAAAGCGUGGGGAGCAAACAGG
rnacentral:rRNA from 1 species